rnacentral:siRNA from 1 species
AGUAGUGUAGGGCACGUGUCCCAC